UCUUUCUGUCAAAAUGACACUUAUACAAAAUACUUUUCAUUUAAAAAUGACUUAAAAAUUUACGCAGGAAUGUCAUUAUGGAAUUCCAAAGUAUAACACAAUACAUACCUACAUUAACUACUAUUCAAAACAACGAAGAAAUAAUCAAGAAGGUAUCCUACGUAGUUCUAUUAAUUCUCUACAUAAUUGUCAUAAUUGGAUUCAUUUAUUCACUGCCAGGAUCAACAAUAAGAUUGAAAUGGAAUAGGUCCUAUAAAAAACUUAAGCGAUUUUCAAAAACUACUCUUCCAAAAUUGCAAGAUACCGCUACUAAUGUAGUUCCGGUUGUUAAAGAUAUGAUGCAAAUUGCAUAUUAUAUUGUAAAUCAAUUUAUGUAAGGCAACGCACACUUUAUCGAGAACAAUAAUUAUUCAAUAGAGGAAUUGUAUUGCACGGAAUAUAAGUUAAGAGAUUGUGUACUUUUUAUGUUUUCCAAGUAUCAAUGAAGUAAAUAGAUUGAAAAACUG